rnacentral:lncRNA from 1 species
CUCAUAUGGCAGAUCUUUUGUAAACACCGCAAGUGAUGUCGGGAUCGGCAGAUUCACGGACUUUCGGUUCAUUUCGAGUCGAAUAUGAUCGAUCGUGAUGUUUUUUUAGGUCACAGGGUCAGUCAGCUCGAUCAUUUCCAACUCCUCGACGCAGUUCGACCGAUUCAUUUUAAAGAGCCGGUUCAAAAGAACGAUUCGUUCUAGUAGUAAUACAUUUCUAAUGAUGUUUAGCGCACUGUCUGUGUUCAGCACAUCGAUAAAGUGGAGCGACUUGUAAGAUUUAAUAUGCAAUUUUUCUAAAUAGUGUGUUUAGCCAGAAAGUUUGUAUGCCGUAAAUGACACUGCCGAGGAGUGAAAUCAGGUCAUUUCCUCAAUCUCAGGUCUAGUUAAAUCUGUGCAGGACAGAUCACACAUAUGUUGAGAUUAAACCCCACUUUCGAUACUCAAAAAGAUGUUGUGGCAAGCAUUUUGGCGAAGGAGGAAAGAGCGAAUAUAGGUGUUCUUGAGCCUCGCAUUCUGAGUGUGGAGAAAGAUGGAGGGGUCGUGUACUCUUGGAGAGGGGCAACAGGAACUACAAGGAUUGGGAAAUAUGAUCCUCACAGUACAGAGAAUAAGGUACAGAAUGGGUAACCAUGUUGGAGAUGAACAUUGGGCCUAU